rnacentral:rRNA from 1 species
UACGGAGGGGGCUAGCGUUGUUCGGAAUUACUGGGCGUAAAGCGCACGUAGGCGGCUUUGUAAGUUAGAGGUGAAAGCCCAGGGCUUAACCCUGGAAUUGCCUUUAAGACUGCAUCGCUAGAAUCGUGGAGAGGUGAGUGGAAUUCCGAGUGUAGAGGUGAAAUUCGUAGAUAUUCGGAAGAACACCAGUGGCGAAGGCGGCUCACUGGCCCGGAACUGACGCUGAGACGCGAAAGCGUGGGGAGCAAACAGG